GUUAAUGUUUAGCUAGUCCACCUGGAAGCAGGCGGGGCACACCCUGACUGUUUCCUAGAAGCAAUGCACACAUUGCUCUAUCCAAGGACAAGGGCUAGAUAUGAACCAUGAGAACUUGAUUGUUUGGACAGCAAUUGUGGGAGGCUUUCUUAGCCUGGGCUCAAGGCCUGAGAACCAGGAUUGUAGUAGAUAGGGGAUGGUAACUAAGUAUAUGAAUUAACGUCACACAUUCCUUUGUGUAGCAGUGUGUAAUGCUUAGGGGGAGAAAUAUAAUAAAAGGAGAAGGUGGAAGGCGGGGGGGCAGAGAAAGGCCCAUCUCAGCUGACCAGCCUGCUUGCUUGCAAAAAGCUGUGUUCUGUCUCAUCACUGAACCGCCACAACUGGCGCCCAAACGUGGGGCCCUCAGCACUCACCUCGCCCAGCAAGGGUUUCAGACACGUCACUCAUCCGCUUCGCGGAUCCUGGGCUGGUGGACACUGGAGCUGACGUUACGGUGAUUCGUGAUCUGGAGUGGCCGGACCAUUGUGGGUUCCAGCUCGGUGUGUGCGACCGGCACUUAAACAACAUGGCAUGGCACCAGGGACUGUCAAAUCCCAUACCGGAGUUUCAGCUGACCUUGGAGGAGACCGCGUUGCCCCCCGAGUUGACAACGACGGGACGGAAACGGAGGAGGCGUAGCGUCCCAAGCCAGCCCGUGACAUGGGGAGCAGUAAAAGCAUUGGUCGCCGCGGCUCAACAAAGACUGGCAGCAGAUCAACAGCCAGAGACUCCUGAGACUUUGUUUGUGGCGAUUCUCGCCCAAAUCACUGCUAAUUCUGUGAUGAUUGUGUGCCUUUUGUGCCUGCUAUUUCCUAAAAGAAGCGUACCCCUUUUAGAUGAUUAUAUUGCAGAUGUUGAGCUUUUGGUUAUUUUGUGUUUGUAAUCAUUGGGCUUAUUUUUUGCUGCUGCUGUGUACAAUGUAUUCUUUCCUUGUUAAGAUUUUGUAAAAUUUUGCCCUGGAAAGCUCCCCAGGUUAUGUCCUUGUCUGUCUGGGAGUUAAAUAGCAUGACAAAACAAAUUGACGGCUACCAUGAGAUGGCCAAAUAUCAAUAAAUAAAAAACGGGGAGAUGAAGGGUUAAUGUUUAGCUAGUCCACCUGGAAGCAGGCGGGGCACACCCUGACUGUUUCGUAGAAGCAAUGCACACAUUGCUCUAUCCAAGGACAAGGGCUAGAUAUGAACCAUGAGAACUUGAUUGUUUGGACAGCAACGGUGGGAGGCUUUCUUAGCCUGGGCUCAAGGCCUGAGAACCAGGAUUGUAGUAGAUAGGGGAUGGUAACUAAGUAUAUGAAUUAACGUCACACAUUCCUUUGUGUAGCAGUGUGUAAUGCUUAGGGGGAGAAAUAUAAUAAAAGGAGAAGGUGGAAGGCGGGGGGGCAGAGAACGGCCCAUCUCAGCUGACCAGCCUGCUUGCUUGCAAAAAGCUGUGUUCUGUCUCAUCACUGAACCGCCACACAGUCUGCCCUGUCUUUCAUUUUAAGCAGCUCCACUGAACUUAAAAGUUGCAGUAAUCGCAAUAUCCAUCUUUUUGCCAUACUCCCUGGCACU